AUACAGAGGGUGCGAGCGUUAAUCGGAAUUACUGGGCGUAAAGCGCGCGUAGGCGGCUUAUUAAGUCAGAUGUGAAAUCCCCGGGCUCGACCUGGGAACUGCAUCUGAUACUGGUAAGCUAGAGUUUGGGAGAGGGAAGUAGAAUUUCAGGUGUAGCGGUGAAAUGCAUAGAGAUCUGAAGGAAUACCAGUGGCGAAGGCGACUUCCUGGCCUAAAACUGACGCUGAGGUGCGAAAGCGUGGGUAGCAAACGGGAUUAGAUACCCCGGUAGUCC
rnacentral:rRNA from 1 species